rnacentral:lncRNA from 1 species
AAGUGGAGUAAAAUACAAUAAAUAUAAAUAUAUACAUCAUAGUAGAGGCAAGACCAAACUUUUCUUCUCGAAUUUAAUUUCCACCAUGAAGUUUGCAAAUUCAGCAAAAUACCAUGUUUACAUCUCACUGCAACAUUGAGCAUUGAGUCUGAUUCAUCCAUACAAAGCUUAUUCAAUUCUGAAUUUAUCAUUUGAUGAAUUUCAAAAAAAUCAAUUACUAAAUUACGAACCUUAAAUUAAAACUUGGACCAGAUUACAAAUCAGACCUUCAAAAAUUAAACUAGAAAUUGGGAUUAACAACUAAACCUUAUGUUCUUUUGAAAGAAAAUGAAAAAAAUAAAGG